UUAGAGCCUAACGUCAUCGCAGGCUGCUGAUAGAGAGAAAAAGAAGACUUUUUAGCCUUUUCUAGGUUUCGUGCUUGUAUUGUUUGAGGUGUGGGCGCCUGUGGUUUCCAGAAACGGUUUCGGAUUACAGGCGGCCUUUAGGCGUUGUCUAUUUUUGUCGUGUAGACAGGCUGUUGAGCAAAGAAAUGGAGCUGCCGAAACAAAAUGGAGCCGACGUCUGGUGCGGUUGGUCUGAGAAAGAGUAUACAGAUUUGCUGAUUUAUUUGGUGGCUACAGUUUUUUCAGAUUAGUUGCGGGAAAGUGUAGGCCGCGGUCUCUCCGUGUGAGCUGCGAAAUACGUUUGUUUCGAUGAGGAAAACAAACCGUGGAAACAGUGAAACCUUUCUUAAAUUAUGCUGAUGAGCUUCAACGGGUGAGGAGAAGAAAAUGGAGGCCAUUUGUUCUGGCGGCAGUGGCGCACAUUUGAGAAAAUCGUUAGAGCCGCUAAAUCUUGCAGUCAUUUCAUUGCCUGCACUCAAGUAAAUAUCAGCCGGAGGUCAUUACUGAAUAGCGUUAUGUGUCCCAGAAGCAAAAAUGUAACACGGUGAGUAUUGUGCAGUAGUCAAGUGGCUCUUCCUUGAGACAAUUGCUGAGGAGAUUUAGGAUGGAUAUGGACCGAAUCUGUGAACGAGGGAUGAAUUUGCUUUCGAAGGCUCUAGCACUCGCCCCUAGUUCUUCUUACCACUUGUUUGUAUCUGUUGAAAGCGACGUUUAUUUUGGGUAGGUGUGAGCGUUGCAUGGCUCUCUCUUUCAACACUUCCCCCACCCCAAAUUUCUACCACAAUGCAAUGAUCCAUCCGAGGAAGACGGUCCAGACCCUGCCGGCAUUCUUUCAGUCAGUUCCUUCAUGCGAGAGAUCAUGGAAUGAAUGUUGGUAGCAUGAUCACCCAGUUGUCCGCCAAAAUAUCUUUCCAACCCCCAACCCCAUCAUGGUUCGGAUAAAAAUAUAUUUAGCUGAAGCCAGAUGGCCUCUAUCUGUCAUUGGUGUUUUCCGGAAAUGGUUCAAGAUCUUUCUUUACAAAGUGCUACUCUGGGUAAGUGAUGAAGAAAGCGAAAAAAGGUGCGAAACUGGGAAAAUGAAAAACAAACGCAGACGAGCAUGAGAGAAAUGAGGGACGUGCAUAUGUUUGAGAGAUGCAGAAAAUUAUUGUCUGAAGAAAUGUAUUAAGAAUGCAACUGAAAGCAGUGAGGGAGCAUCUGUAAAUAUUAGCUAUUCUCAGAUAAAACGCUAAUCUUUUAGUAAAUUUCUGGUAGGGCUAUGCCCCUGGAAAAAAUGAGGGCCAGUAUUUUUCAUUCUCACAUGUUCAGGCACGUGAAAAGUUAACUAUUUAUUAACUUUCAUAUGGCAGUCAUAAAAGAAACCUUGCAAGUGGUAUUUCUAUUGUAAAUCUAUAUAGAUGCCAUUCACUGUUUCCAUUUGCAGUAUGUGGGUAAUAAAUACAAUAACAAAUGUACAGUAUAACUAAAUGAUGGAGGAGUUUGACUCCAGUUAAUAAUCUGUAACAUCCUGUCAAAAGAUAGUCCUGAAGAUUGGAUAAAAUAUCUCUGAGUUUCUGGUAAUUCCUGUAAUAAGCUACAUGUUCAAGAGUAAGCUAUAAUAACCAUCCGACUAAACAACGAUUGCUGAAAUGUGAGUCUUGUGCUCCUUUUAUUCAAUAGGCAGCUUGGCUUUGUUCCAACUGAAUAGUUGAUAUGGAAGACUAUCGCUGGAUUUCUGAGGAUGACUAGUAUCCCUAAUACCAUCCCAGUGAAAGUCAGCGUCAAGCUGGUGAUUUACCAUGAGAAUAUGCUGGCCUCAGUAGCUCAGCCAUUCAUUGAGUAAUCAGAGCUGGCUGUUUGGAACCCCAUAUUACAGUGAAAAGGUAAAUAUUUGCAUUUGAAUUAGUCAUGCACCAAGCCUCUGCAUUCCUUUCCCAGGAAGUGCUCCAUAUUUGCUUUAAAGGUGGCAAUACCAUAGACAAAAGUGAAAAUAAGCCAUAAAGUACAGCAUUUGCAACAGUUCACAUAUUAAGAGUUUUUAAAACUUCCAGUGAAAUAUUAAGCAACACACACAAGAUGCUGGAGGAACUCAGCAGAUCUAUAGAUGCUGCCUGACCUGCUGAGUUCCUCCAGCAUCUUUUGUGUGUUGCUUUGGAAUUCCAGCAUCUGCAUUUUCUUGUGUCAAUUAAAUAUUGUUUUGUGUAAUUGAAAUAUACAGUAAUAACUUCCUUUACAUAUUUCUUAAGAAUUCCAGCAACUUUUUCAUUUAUAUUGUGACUGCUUUAUUGACUUUAAUGUGCAGAAAACAAUGAAAUUAAUGUAUUUCAGAAAAUGUUAUUUCUGUGUAACAAUGUAUACAUGUGAUACCCUUAAAUUCUGUAAAAUUUAGAAGCAUUUCAUUGGAGUAUUGUUUGACAGAAUUUUUAAAAAGGUAUUUAAAGAAAUAAUGGAUCAGAGGAUUAAAUGCUCUCAAAUAAAGAAGACUGAAGUGUAGAUUUUAGAGAAGGAAUUCCAGUAUACAAGGCCUUGGUAGCUGAAGGCACUCAGUCAGUGAUAGGACAACUAAAAUUAUGAAUGGUCUUGCAGAAUGGUUUGUAGUAAAGUUACCAUAUUGAUCCAAAGAUGCAAUUUCAAGAUCCACUGUUGAGAAUUUAAACUCUUAAUUAAAUUCUUGCAGGGAGGUUUGCUUGUGCUGAUAGAGAGAGUUUCAACUAAUUUGGGAGGGGAAUCUGAUACAGUAGAUAGAUUGAUGGAGGAGAUGUACAGUUCAGAAUGAGAUUUAUUGUCACCAACUAAUGACAUGAAAUUUAUUUUAUGGCAGUACAGUGCAAAGACAAAAUUACUAUAUAAAAUACCGAUCAGAAAUCUGAUGGCAGAGAGGAAGAAGCUGUUUCUGAAUCAUUGAGGGUGGGUCUUCAGGCUCCUGUGCCUUCUCCAAUGGUAGUAAUAAGAAGAGGGCAUAUUCCAGAUAAUAUAGGAGCAGAAUUAGACCAUUCAGCCCAUCAAGUCUGCUUCAUUAUUUGUUCAUGGCUGAUUUAUUUUUUCUUUUUCAAUACCAUCCAUCUGUCUUCUCCCCACGUCCACCCUAUCCAAGCCUUUCAAUAGUCAAUAGGUUUCAAUAAGAUCCUCCCACUCAUUCUAAACUCCUAUGAGUACAGGUCAAGAGCCAUCAAACACCGAUGAAGGCCUUGCAUGAUAGUUAAAUCCGGAAGUUAGAUCAGUCCAGGAGUUGGAGCAGAUGCAAGGCAUACAGGAAGAAUAGAGGGCUAAAUUGCAUCUAUUUUAAUGCAUAGAAUCUUGGCUAGUAAGACAGAGAACGUCUAUCUUUGAGCAACAGAUAAUGUUGCUAUCAUGGGCAGGGUUGAAAGAAGGUAGGGCUGGCAACUCGACAUAGCAGGAUAAAGAAUAUUCGGGUAUGACAGCAGGGUAUAAGCAGUGGUGUUGCAGUCUGGAUUGUUUAGAAGUCUUCAUAAGAGAGGGUAGAUGGGUAGAACACAAGAAUGAAAAGGGGCACUCAUGUUGCUGAGAGUACAGGCCAUCUAACAGUUAAUAAGGGAUAAAGAGGCAGAUAUGCAGACAAAUCAAAGAUGUAAGUGUGAUAGCAUUAUAGUUGGGGCAUUUCAAGUUCCUGGGUGUCAAGAUCUCUGAGGAUCCAACCUAGUUCCAACAUUAUUGAUGUAGUUAUAAAGAAGGCAAGACCGCGGCUAUACUUCAUUAGGAGAUUGAAGAGAUUUGGCACAUCAACAAAUACUCAAAACUUCUAUAAAUAUACCAUGGAGAGCAUUCUGACAGGCUGCAGCACUGUCUGGUAUGGAGGGGCAACUGCACAGGACCGAAAGAAGUUGCAGAAGGUUGUAAAUCUAGUCAGGUCCAUCUUGGCUACUAGCCUACAAAGCACCCAGGACAUCUUUAGGGAGUGGAGUCUCAGAAAGGCAGUGUCCAUUAUUAAGGACCUCCAGCACCCAGGGCACGCCCUUUUCUCACUGUUAACAUCAGGUAGGAGGUACAGAAGCCUGAAGGCACACACUGUGAUUCAGGAAUAGCUUCCCUGCCCUCCCCCCCCCCCCCCCCCCCCACCACCAUCCGAUUCCUAAAUAGACAUUGAAUCUUUAGACACUACCUCACUUUUUUUUAAUAUAGUAUUUCUGUUAUUUGCACUUUUUAAUCUAUUUAAUAUAUGUAAUUGUUCAUUAUUUUUUUCUGUCUGCUAGAUUAUGUAUUGCAUUGAACUGCUACUGCUAAGUUAACGAAUUUCAUGUCACAUGCUGGUGAUAAUAAACCUGAUUCUGAUUCAAUUUACCCCUGAUAUUAACUGGGAUUAUUUUACUGUGAAAAUCUUAAAGGGGCUUGAAUUUUUUAAAUUCAUUCAGGAGAGCUCAUUGAGCUCGUCCUACAAGAGAAAGGGUAACACUGGACGUAAUCUCAAAGUGGGCAAGUGAAUGAAGUUUCAGUGGGAGGGAUUUUGGAGACAGACUAUAACUCUGUAGGUUUUAAGGUAGCAUGGGAUGAGGAAAGUGUGGAAAUUAAGGUCCUGAACUGAAGGAAGGCUAAUUUCAAUGUCACAGGACGGGAGCUGACAGAAGUAGACUGGAAGCAAUUACAUAUAUACCCAACAAGUGGGAGCACUCUGACAAAGGUGAAAAUGAGAAUAGUAAGUCUGGAUGUCAGGAGAUAUAGAUGAGGAUCACCAGAAUUCAAAGUAAAUUUAGUGUGUGUGUGUGUGUAUAUGUGUAUAUAUAUAUAUAUAUAUAUAUAUAUAUACACACACACACCAUAUACUACUUAGACAUUUUUCUCCAGGCAUUCACAAGAAUAAAAUACAAUUGAACUUUGCAAAAAUCUGUACAUAAAAAAAGACUGACAAAAUAACUGAUCUGCAAGAGAAAACAAACUGCUCAUAAAAGUUGUAACAAGUCCUUAAAAGAGAGUCUGUAGGCCAUAGGGUCAGAUCAGAGUAAUGAUAACUGAAGUUAUCAAUGUCAUUUUGGGAGGCUGCUGGUUGUAGGUUAAUAUGUUCCUGACUCUAGUGGUGAGGGACCUAAAGCUUCUAUAACUCUGAUGGCCUGGAUGGUGGGGGGGGGGGGGGGGGGGUACCAGUGAGAGUAUGGGUAUUAGAGACCAAGGAGCCAAUGUGAGUAUGGGGGCCAGAGGAUGUAGAUGAGGUGUGAAAUUAAAACUCCUCAUUUGCAUUCAUUAAAGAAAGGACACUGCAGUUAGAGAAUUCAGCAAGGAGUCAGUGAAAUUGUAGAUGUCGUUAAAAAAGAAUUAUUACAAUCCCGAAAGAGGCAUUUUUUUAAAAAAACAGAACCAGAUGGCAUAUGUCCCAGAAUGCUUUGGGAGGCAAGGAGAUUGUUGGGGCUCUGACUUUUUUUUCCACUCUUUGCUGACCAGCUGAUUCAAGAAGCGCAGCAGUUUUAAAAAUGUGCCUGUUCAAGAAAGGCAGCAGGGAUAAUUCAUAUAAUUCCAGAUCUGUGAUCUAACAUCAAUGGUAUGGAAGGUUCAUUGAGAAAAUUUCUGAGGGACAGGGCUGACCUACCCGAGUGGAGCUAUAUUAAUUGAAAGAUAUUCAGCAUGACUGUUGACAAAUGUUAUAGUGCUGAGAAACUCAAGGCAAAGGGGAUAAGGGAGAGCUGCUUUUGUGAUUGGAAGCCUCUGACCAAUAGUGGACCACAGAGAAGAGUGUAGGGACCAUUGUUGUUUGUAAUGUAAUUUAAUUUUGGUUGCAAAUGUAGGAGGUAAAAUUAAUAAGUUUACAGAUGUCACAAAGUUGUUACUUCUGUUGAUUGUGAGGUUGCUUGUCUUAAUGUACAGGUUGUUCAGAUGGAAAAUGGCUGGUCAACAACAGGAAUUCAUCCUAAUGUAAAGAAGGACUAACGAUGGUAGGACUUAAGCAAUGAAUCUUAGGGUUUUGUGACAUAUUAAGGAACAGUGUGACUUUGGUGUAUAAAUCCAAAGAUCUCUGAAGGUGGCAGCACAGAUGGGUGAGCUGAUGAAGAAGGCAUCCGGGAUUUUUGACUUCAUUAGUCAGGCCUGGAGCAAGAAGGUGACACUGUGGUAUUAUAAAAUAUAAGUUUGACCACUGUUGGAGUGCUAGGUACAGUUCCAAUCACCACAGUAUGGGAUUGCACAAGGCAGGGUGCAGAGGAGAUUUAUCAAGACUUUGCCUUGGUUGGAGUAUUGUGGAAAGGUGAGACGUUUUCCUUGGUACCAAGAUGUCUUAGGGGAACUUAAUAGAGGUAUUCAUAUUGUGAUGGUACAGAUCGGAUUGAUAGUGGGAAACUUCCUCACAGCAGAGAAGUAUAAAAUUACAGGGCAUAGGUAUGGAUAAGGAGUAAAAUAGUUUGAGGGAACCUGGGGUCUUCUGUCUCUCUCCCGCCCCCCCCCCCCCAACAGAGGGUGGUUGGAAUAUGCAGAGGAUGUUGGAGGGAGAUACUCCCAAAACAUUUAGAUUACUAGAUGAGCACUUGAAUUGCCACAGCAUAGAAUGCCAUAGAUCAAGUGUCCAUAAUUGAGAUUAAUAUAGAUGGAUGUUUGAUAAUUAGCAUGGAUCUGAUGGGCUGAAGGACCUGUUUCUGUGUUGUAUCCCGCUGAGUCUCUAUGACUGUAGGACUCAGACAAAAGGGAAAGUAAUGAGGUGAUAGAAGUGCAAUAACAAGAUAAACUGCCAAAUUGGAGUGUAGAACAAUGUGAUUUAAUAUAGAGAUUAAAACUGAGGGCAUAGGGCAAAUAGUUGUGAUGAAAUUAAUGAAACAUGGACAUGGAGACACUGAGGAAAAUCUGUCAAAAAAAAGUAUGCUACGUAUAUUGGAAUCGCCAGCCGGUGGUGUAGUGGCAUCCGCACCAGAAUGAGACAAGUGAUCCCAAGUUCGAAUCCAGCCGGCUCCUUGCACAUUUUCCAUCUGUGCUGGGUGAGCGUCAAGCUGGCAACUGCCUUGUAAAACAAACGCUAAAGAAACAGCAAGGCUGCUGCCCAAUGUGCCUAUAGGCAUGGGGAGGAACAUGUAUUAGAAGAGUUUUCAUAAAGAGGGGAGGCAGCGAGUCAAUAAAGAACAAAUAGCAAUUGGCAGGGCUCAUACCAUUUUGACUGAAUAUAGGAUCACUUAGUAAUAGACUAAGACAACUGUGCUGCUCCAAAGAGUGUUAUAUGAGGCAAUUCUUACCCUUGCCAUUAGGCUCUAUAAUGAGUCAACCCAUAGCCAGGGAAAUGAUGACCCCCCCCCCCACCUGUUACCUGAGGUAACUUAUUUUUUAUUCUACUUCUAAUAUUUAUGUAUCUGUGCAUUUGUAAUGCUACUAUGACACUGUAUUUUCCUUUGGGAUUAAUAAAGUAUUAUCUCUUA